UGUUUGAGGUUAGAAUGAUGUGCGGUAUACAAAUAUAUGUUUUUUUCUCUUGUUAGUUUGUUGACUUUCAAAAUUACCCUUGCACCUUCAGGAUGACGGCUCGCACUUUCGCAUUUGCUCUCUUCAAGCACUCGAAAAUGAGGUGAAUGAUUUGAAGAAAGAUGCUCGUGACGAGGUCAAGACCCCCUUGAAACUGCAAUUAAAGAUUCAACAAAUGAGUGAGGAGAUCAAAGGGCUCAAGAAAUUAGUCAAGGGUUAUCCUUAAUUUCUUGUGUUAGAUUCCCUAAAUCUGUUUUGAACUUGGUGGUGCUCUCGUGUUUAUCUCUUGUGUUCUAAAAUUAUAUAUUGCUAUGUGUUUCCGUUAGCUAGGUUGUUAUGUUUUACCAGUACUACACCUUCAAAUAAGAAACAUCAGAGUUAGUUAUACAUCAACAAACAACAAACAACAAACAAUAUAAGUUUAAACAUAAAACAACAACGAGAUAUAGCAGUAGUUAAGACUUUUUCACCAUAUUUCAACAACCAACAAUAGCGAGUUUACAACCAGCACUACAAUAAAUAUGAGUAUUGGUAGCAGUUCGCGGUAGCACGAAUUUACCAACUGCUACCAAUAGUGCCAAGAUCGGAUCACAAUUCUAUUGUAACACUAAAUCUGCGCUAAGAUAGAAUUUCAUUAAACGAGAAAGCAAAAUUCAGGGAUUUCAUUUACAGUAACACUUUUGUGUGAAAAUUUUAGUUUUGUCCGCCAAACACUUUACAGUAACAUUUACAGGGAUUUAGCUCACGAUUAACGCUACAAUAUCUUUAUCUAACAUAGCCACAAAAAACGCUACGAUAGGGAAGGUCUAUUAUAGAUGCGGCUGUCACGUCGUUCUUCGAAACGCUAUGAAAACGAUAUGGUAGCACAUUCUCGACGCUACUAAUACCUAUAUUUCUUGUAGUGCAGGUACAAAGAUCUCAUUUUUCCUUCUUAGACCUACUCAUUGGCUUGUUCAGGUUGUCAUCCAGUGUGCACACCGUCCUUUUAACCCCCUUUCCUUUUUUCUCCUUCUCUUUCACAUCCUGAGGUGAGUCCUCAAGUGAGUCUUCACCUACUUUCUCAACAUAAGCUUCCAAUGCAGUGAAUAUCAUGUCUAACGCCUCCAUCUUUUUCUUCCAAUGCAGCGACUCUCGUUUUUCUAACGCCUUCGUCCACUCUCUCAUUUCUUCUUCCCUAGCAUUAACUAGUUCUCCCAAUUCAAUUAAUGAGAUCUCUAAGCUAUUGAGCGGAGUGCUGAAAUCCUGCAACAGUCAUACAGUGGGAAGAAAAAUACAAAUCAUACUACUUUUAGUCCAAUUACUCACUAAACA
rnacentral:lncRNA from 1 species